CCAGCUUGCGCCCCAGCUGCAAGUGGGGAUCAGCACUGCGCGUCACGAGGCAGACUCCUGGAACAGAAGUCGGAGUUUGCGUUGAUCCAGGAAUGCCUGUUGCAGGUUGUGUCUGGCAGGGCUGGGGAUUGUGGAAGGUGCGUUAACUGGCCUUGUGGAGCCAGGAGGGCCUGUCAGCUGCUGGAAGUGGAGGUGGAGAAGCUGCUCACAGGAACCAGAGUCAGAAGGCUGGGAGGGAGAGUCCCAGGUCUGUGUUUUCAGAGCCUUCCCCAUGAAGCUACAUCUAGGUGUGAUUGCCUAGGGGUGGUAAAACUGUUGCUGUUGCCUGGCUGCCCCCUAGAACCCUUGGGUUCCUUCUUUUGCUCUUUCAGACAGAGGAAGGGAGGAAACCAGAGGUUUUGACCUAUUGUGCAAAGUUUCUAGGGGGCCUAGGAGCACCGAACGUGAAUAAGGAUGUAGGCAAGGGACGCAUUCUAAAGACAGCCCUAGACGGAGGGAAGACAGACUGCCCCGAAUGUAGCAACGUUCCCAAAGAGAGGAAGGUUACUGGGGCAGAGAGGUAGGAACUGGAUGGAGUGCUGAGAGCAGAUUCUAUAACCAGCUUUUCUGCUGCCGGGUUUUCAGUUCAGCUGCAUCUCAGAUUCCUGGAUUUUACCUAUUUGUUGGUGAAUUUGCCCGGGUGAUGACAGCAAAUCAUUGAGUGACAGGAAGGGGCAAUACAAGCCAUCCUCAGCUGACUUCUCUCCAAGGACCUUCCAAAUGUCCAGUGACUCAGUGAAGAAUGUACUCCCUCCCUCCUGCCUCCACAUAACCAAUGCAGAGUAGAGGUGGAGGAUGGUACAGUUAUGAGGAACUGGGAAGCCAGAGUAUGUGUUGAGUCUAGACUCUGCAAUUAGACUCCCUUGUCCUCAUCCCUACACUACCACUUCAUGACUGGGUAACUCCAGGCAAGUCUAAAUAGCCGUUUGAAGCCUCAGUUUCCUUAUCUAAGAAGUGGGCAUAAUAAUGGCUUGUGCUAUUAUAAGGGUUGAGUGAACUAAAAUAUAUGUAAAAUGCUUAGAACCGUGCCUGGUGUGCAGUGAAUGCUACAUGAACUAUGAUUACAGGGUAUUAAAUGGAAUGAUGAGAUCCAUCUGGAAUGAUGGCAGAGCUAGGGUGGAAGGAGAGACUGUAAAACAGGUGUCAGUCUUAAAUGAAUUAAGUAAUGAAGACAGUACU